AAAGUUGCAGACAGCCCGGCGAACCGCGCAAUGCGCUUCUUCUGCCUGCAGCAGAGAAAAGGAAAGAAAACUCCGCAGGGGCUCCGUUGGCUUCUCCACGAGUGACAACCAUGUUUUCCCAGAUAGAAGACCGGAGCCCUGCUCCUUUGCGAUCCGCCGAGGGCUGCAGAGAGCAUCCUCAUCCAUUUGGGCACCCCUGCCCAGGAAGAGCCCGGCCAUCCCUUUCCGGACUGGAUCCUUAAGAGGUGAAUUUUCUUCCGUGGAUUCCGAUUUGCUCCGUCUGACCAGCCUAGGCAAUCCAGCAUCGCGUGGUACCAGUGCCGCUGGGCACACUGGCUUCACGCCGGCUCCGCCUCACCAGCAAGCGCAUUCCCAGGUGGUCAGGCUCAGGAUGGACCAUGAGCUUUCAAAAAGGAAAAAGAAACAAUCGUGAAUUGUUUGGUGAAAAAUGAAAAAAUAACCAUUUCUUAUGUCUCCGUGACCUUUAUAGACCAAUGUCACCAACUUUUCCUAAGCUUUUUCUGGAGGAAAUUCGCAUUUGAAUUGAUGGACUGAAUAAAGCAGAUUGCAGUCCCCAGUGUGGAUGGGCUUGAUCCAGUCUUCUAAGGACCCAAAUAAAAUAGGUGGAGGAAGCUUGAAUUUUCUGCCUGACUGUGGCGCUGGGACACCCAUCUUCUCCUGCCCUUGAACUGGGACUGACACCAUCAGUGCUCCUGGUUCUCAGACCUUCGGACAGCAGACUUGGGGCCUUCUCGGCCUCCAUUAUUGUCUGCUUUUAGAUAUUUAACGGGAGAGGAAAAGAGAAAAUAUGAUUAAAGCCUUUGAAAGUCCAUUUCCAAGAAAUAAAAACUGCAGUAGGAAUUCUACAAAACUGAAAAAUCUUCAGGACUGGAAGAUCUAUCCAGAAAAGCCCAGUGGAUUAUAAUAACUUAUUAAAAUAUUUGUUUGGCAA
rnacentral:lncRNA from 1 species